rnacentral:rRNA from 1 species
GGGCCCGCACAAGCGGUGGAGUAUGUGGUUUAAUUCGAUGCAACGCGAAGAACCUUACCAGGGUUUGACAUCCUGCGAAUCUCUUGGAAACUUGAGAGUGCCUUCGGGAGCGCAGUGACAGGUGGUGCAUGGCUGUCGUCAGCUCGUGUCGUGAGAUGUUGGGUUAAGUCCCGCAACGAGCGCAACCCACGUCUUUAGUUGCCAGCAUUUAGUUGGGCACUCUAGAGAGACCGCCGGUGAUAAACCGGAGGAAGGUGUGGAUGACGUCAAGUCCUCAUGGCCCUUACGGGUUGGGCUACACACGUGCUACAAUGGUAGUGACAAUGGGUUAAUCCCAAAAAGCUAUCUCAGU